GUGCCAGCAGCCGCGGUAAUACGAAGGGUGCAAGCGUUACUCGGAAUUACUGGGCGUAAAGAGUACGUAGGCGGCAUGGUAAGUCUGAUAUUAAAGACCGGAGCUCAACUCCGGGACUGUAUCGGAAACUGCCAAACUAGAGGACAAUAGAGGAAGUCGGAAUUCUCAGUGUAGCGGUGAAAUGCGUAGAUAUUGGGAAGAACACCAGUGGCGAAAGCGGACUUCUGGGUUGUUACUGACGCUGAGGUACGAAAGCGUGGGGAGCAAACGGGAUUAGAUACCCCGGUAGUCC
rnacentral:rRNA from 1 species